rnacentral:tRNA from 4 species
AAAGCUUUAAGUUAAUUAAACUAUUAACCUUCAAAGUUAAAAAUAUAUUUUAUAUAAGCUUUA